rnacentral:lncRNA from 1 species
ACAAUGGUGAUGAUGAUGUUGGUGAUAAUGAUAGUGAUGGUGAUGAGGUGGUGGUGAUGGUGAUAAUGAUGUUUAUGAUGGUGAUGGUGGUGAUGAUGGUGGUGGUGGUGACAAUGGUGAUGAGAUGGUGGCGAUGGUGGUGAUGAUGAUGAUGGUGAUGGUGAUGGAGGUGAUGGUGAUGGUGGUGAUGAUAGUGAUGAUGAUAGUGGUGUUGAAGGUGGUGACAAUGGUGAUGUUGGAUGUGAUGUGGUGAUGAUGAUGACGGUGGUGGUGACAGUUUGAUCAUGGGGUGGCAGUGAUGAUAACAGACUCGCACCUGCAUAGUACUUGUCUUAUAGUGAGCACUGUUUUAAGUACUUUAAGGCUAUUAAUUCACUGAGUGUUCACAACACUCCUGGGCAGGUACUGCUACUAACCCACUUUAUAAAUGAAGAAAUCGGCACAGGGUCGCAGUGGAAGACGAGCUGCGGUGGGAAAGGAGGAGAGUGGGGACAGUGGUGUCUGGGGUCCAGGGAGGUGACCGAUUCAUAGAUGACAGGAAAUCUGUGGCAGAUGCUCUGGAGUCAAGUCAAAUGGCUCAGAGGCAGGCCCUGGUGACGUUCUCUAUUGAAACAGAAUGAAAACAUCCCACAUGAGUCGAUUCGAGAAAGCAGGGAGGAAUAAGGUGAAGGUGGGGAGCCCAGGGACCUGACUUGAAGGAGACUUUCUGUAAAGGGGUAAAAUAGAGCAGCUCCUGAGGGUGGAAGGGGCGUGUCUCUGCACAGAUAAGAACGGAACCAGUGGGACACUGGGGCACAGGAGAGAGGUGGGAGCCAAGAGAGGUCCCCAAGACACAGGCCAGGGGAGGUCUGGAGCUUCAGUGGAGGACGGGCUUUGGGCUGGGCCGCGGCGCACUGAGGACAGAGGCAGCCGGCUGGGCCCUUUGCUGCCGGUGUGCGGAGGUUCUCCUCCCGCCAUCGGUGGAGAAUGAGGCGGGAGGACCUGCAGGGGUCCUGAGGUGGAGACCCACCGUGGACUGGCUGGAGAACUGCUCAGGAGGCCCGUGGCCCCACCGUCUGCGAAGCUGUGGGGUUGGGGAUUCAGGGAAAGGGACCAUGU